rnacentral:rRNA from 1 species
GUGGGGAAUAUUGGACAAUGGGCGAAAGCCUGAUCCAGCCAUGCCGCGUGAGUGAUGAAGGCCUUAGGGUUGUAAAGCUCUUUCAGUAGGGAAGAUAAUGACGGUACCUACAGAAGAAGCCCCGGCUAACUUCGUGCCAGCAGCCGCGGUAAUACGAAGGGGGCUAGCGUUGUUCGGAUUUACUGGGCGUAAAGCGCACGUAGGCGGAUUGGUCAGUUAGAGGUGAAAUUCUGGAGCUCAACUCCAGAACUGCCUUUAAUACUGCCAGUCUAGAGUCCAGAAGAGGUGAGUGGAACUCCUAGUGUAGAGGUGGAAUUCGUAGAUAUUAGGAAGAACACCAGUGGCGAAGGCGGCUCACUGGUCUGGUACUGACGCUGAGGUGCGAAAGCGUGGGGAGCAAACAGGAUUAGAACCCCCAGUAGUCC